rnacentral:rRNA from 1 species
UAGAUACCCUGGUAGUCCACGCCGUAAACGAUGUCGACUUGGAGGCUGUGCCCUUGAGGCGUGGCUUCCGGAGCUAACGCGUUAAGUCGACCGCCUGGGGAGUACGGCCGCAAGGUUAAAACUCAAAUGAAUUGACGGGGGCCCGCACAAGCGGUGGAGCAUGUGGUUUAAUUCGAUGCAACGCGAAGAACCUUACCUGGUCUUGACAUCCACGGAAGACUGCAGAGAUGCGGUUGUGCCUUCGGGAGCC